UGGUGUUCGGUGUGGCUUGUGUAGGAUAGGUGGGAGACGUUGAAGCGGGCACGCUAGUGUUCGUGGAGUCAUUGUUGAAAUACCACUCUGGUCACUCUGGAUAUCUAACUUCGGACCCUAAUCGGGUUCAGGGACAGUGCCUGAUGGGUAGUUUAACUGGGGCGGUUGCCUCCCAAAGAGUAACGGAGGCGCCCAAAGGUUCCCUCAACCUGGUUGGCAAUCAGGUGGCGAGUGUAAGUGCACAAGGGAGCUUGACUGUGAGACUGACAAGUCGAGCAGGGACGAAAGUCGGGACUAGUGAUCCGGCAGUGGCUUGUGGAAGCGCUGUCGCUCAACGGAUAAAAGGUACCUCGGGGAUAACAGGCUGAUCUUGCCCAAGAGUCCAUAUCGACGGCAUGGUUUGGCACCUCGAUGUCGGCUCGUCGCAUCCUGGGGCUGGAGUAGGUCCCAAGGGUUGGGCUGUUCGCCCAUUAAAGCGGUACGCGAGCUGGGUUUAGAACGUCGUGAGACAGUUCGGUCCCUAUCCGCUGCGCGCGCAGGAAAUUUGAGAAGAUCUAUCCCUAGUACGAGAGGACCGGGAUGGACGAACCUCUGGUGUGUCAGUUGUUCCGCCAGGAGCACCGCUGAUUAGCUACGUUCGGAACGGAUAACCGCUGAAAGCAUCUAAGCGGGAAGCCGGCUUCGAGAUGAGAUUUCCAUCCCUUCGGGGGAGAGGCUCCCAGCCAGACGACUGGGUUGAUAGGCCGGAUGUGGAAGACAGGACUAAAGACUGUCGGAGCUGACCGGUACUAAUAAGCCGAUAACUUGAUAA
rnacentral:rRNA from 1 species